GUCUACCGCCAUGCUACCGUGAACAAGCCGGAGCCAGGUCUGAUCUCGGAAGCUAAGCAGGGUCCGGCCUGAUUAGUACUUGGAUGGGAGACCACCGAGGAAGACUAGGUGCCGCAGGCA
rnacentral:rRNA from 1 species